rnacentral:rRNA from 1 species
GACGUAGGGGGCGAGCGUUGUCCGGAUUUAUUGGGCGUAAAGAGCUCGUAGGCGGUUUGUCGCGUCUGCUGUGAAAACUCGGGGCUUAACCCCGGGCCUGCAGUGGGUACGGGCAGACUAGAGUGCGGUAGGGGAGACUGGAAUUCCUGGUGUAGCGGUGAAAUGCGCAGAUAUCAGGAGGAACACCGGUGGCGAAGGCGGGUCUCUGGGCCGUAACUGACGCUGAGGAGCGAAAGCAUGGGGAGCGAACAGG